GCGUUGUCCGGAAUUAUUGGGCGUAAAGAGCUCGUAGGCGGCUUGUCGCGUCGGAUGUGAAAGCCCGGGGCUUAACUCCGGGUCUGCAUUCGAUACGGGCAGGCUAGAGUUCGGUAGGGGAGAUCGGAAUUCCUGGUGUAGCGGUGAAAUGCGCAGAUAUCAGGAGGAACACCGGUGGCGAAGGCGGAUCUCUGGGCCGAUACUGACGCUGAGGAGCGAAAGCGUGGGGAGCAAACAGG
rnacentral:rRNA from 1 species